rnacentral:rRNA from 1 species
AGUAAUGCCUAGGAAUCUGCCUGGUAGUGGGGGACGAACGUUUCGAAAGGAACGCUAAUACGCAUACGUCCUACGGGAGAAAGCAGGGACCUUCGGGCCUUGCGCUAUCAGAUGAGCCUAGGUCGGAUUAGCUAGUUGGUGAGGUAAUGGCUCACCAAGGCGACGAUCCGUAACUGGUCUGAGAGGAUGAUCAGUCACACUGGAACUGAGACACGGUCCAGACUCCUACGGGAGGCAGCAGUA